GACGUAGGGCGCGAGCGUUGUCCGGAUUUAUUGGGCGUAAAGCGUUCGUAGGCGGCUUGUCGAGUCGACCGUGAAAACUUGGGGCUCAACCCCAAGCCUGCGGUCGAUACGGGCAGGCUAGAGUUCGGUAGGGGAGACUGGAAUUCCUGGUGCAGCGGUGAAAUGCGCAGAUAUCAGGAGGAACACCGGUGGCGAAGGCGGGGCUCUGGGCCGAUACUGACGCUGAGGAGCGAAAGCGUGGGGAGCGAACAGG
rnacentral:rRNA from 1 species